rnacentral:pre_miRNA from 1 species
AGUGGGAUAGUUGAGUCAAAUGGUGGUUCUAUUCUACAUUUUUUAAGGAAUCUCCAUACUGCUUUCCAGAAUGGUUGCACCAAUUUACAGUCCCACCAGCAAU